rnacentral:misc_RNA from 1 species
AUAUAUUAGGGGCAAGUAACUCGACACAACUUGAUUUUUGGUGACGAUUGCGUCUCUUCGAAUUUGGCUCAUUUGUAAGUUGUCGUCCGAAGAAGAUAGACACUGUUCGCAAAGGCUGUUUAACUUGAUAGGAUGAUUGCACAAGCUGCUCAUUGCUAUAAGUUUUUCAUUGAUCAAACACUAAAGAGACCUCUGUAUUUAAGUCAUUAUCAAAGAACUCUCCUACUCCAAUUUUGCCGUUUUAAGCAUCUCCAACUUUCCAGUCCAAUUUUACCAACAUUUUUUCAAGCAAAGAACUAUUUGGAAAGAGUUGCUCUUGUUGACCAGAAUGGGCACUUCCGAUACAGAGACCUACUCCAUUACAGUGCAAUUUUAUCGAAAAAAAUUAAAAAUACAAUUGGCUGCACUUCAAAUUCCUGUGAAGGUUUACGGAUAGCAUUUCUUUGUGAAAAUGAUUUGUCAUAUGUCGUAACAAAAUGGGCAACUUGGAUGAUUGGAGCAGCUGCUGUUCCGCUUUGUAAAACACAUCCUGUUAAAGAAAUUUGUUAUUUCAUAGACAAUUCCAAAUCCUCAAUUGUUGUUAUUAGUGAAGAAUUCAAAAGUCUAACUGAGGAAAUAGAACAAAAUACAGGAGUUCAAACAUUGCUUUUAAGCAAAGAUGACUAUCUUCAUGAGUAUGAUCCAUGUCAAAAUUAUUGGUUGACUGAAUGUAAAGAGUUGGACAGAAAAUUUGAAGAAAUGCUUAAAAUAAACCAGUUCAAAAACCAGCCAGCAUUAGUUAUUUAUACUAGUGGUACAACAGGGAAACCAAAGGGUGUGGUGCUAACUCAUGGCAACUUAACUGCUCAGAUAGAAGCUAUGAUAUACAGCUGGGGAUGGACAAGAAAUGAUGUUAUUUUACACACAUUACCACUACAUCAUGUUCAUGGUAUUGUUAAUGUACUUAUGACACCAUUCCAUUGUGGUGCUACCUGUGUGAUGCUUACGAAAUUUGACCCACAAACGGUGUGGUCUCGGCUGCUGAACCCUGUUGGAGCCAAUGAUGGUUUAAGAAUUAAUUUAUUCAUGGCUGUACCUACUGUUUAUGCCAAGCUGAUUGAAAACUAUGAAUCAAAUAUGCGAAAUAACCAGGAAGAUAUGUACAUGGGAAAAUUUGUCAAAAACACCUGUCAGAAUCGUAUCAGGCUCAUGGUCAGUGGCUCAGCAUCAUUACCACAGCCGAUCAUGGAGCGAUGGGAAGAAAUCACUGGACAUCGAUUGUUGGAACGAUAUGGCAUGAGUGAAAUUGGGAUGGCUCUGACCAAUCCACUUGAUGGGCCCAGAAUUCCAGGUUCUGUCGGUCACCCUAUGCCUUGGGUAGACGUUUGCAUUGCAAAACCAAAUGUUUAUGCAAAAUGGGGUUAUGAUGUAAUAGCUCAGGGAAAUUCUUCAAAAACUGUGGUUUCCCCAGGAAUGGAGUCUGAACAAGGGGAGUUAUAUGUACGAGGACCCAAUGUAUUUAGUGAAUAUUUCCAACGACCUGAUGCAGUAAAGAGAUCUUUUACAAAAGAUGGUUGGUUUAAAACAGGUGAUACAGCUAUUUAUGAAAAUGGUGUGUAUUCAAUAAUGGGACGUACUUCUGUGGAUAUUAUUAAGAGUGGAGGUUAUAAAAUAAGUGCUCUUUAUGUUGAGCGACACCUGUUAUCACAUCCACAAAUUACGGACUGUGCUGUGAUAGGACUUCCUGAUAUUACUUGGGGACAGCGUAUUGCUGCUGUCCUUGUUCUUAAAGAAGGUGCUGAUGAAAUGCCACUUGAGAGUUUACAGAGAUGGGCUGAAAAUCUUAUGCCUUACUAUCAAGUCCCUACAGUUGUGCGAUAUCUUAAGGCCAUGCCUCGAAAUGCCAUGGGUAAAGUCAACAAAAAGGACAUUUUUGCAACUGUUUUCCCAGAGUUCAACAGGUCUUCAAGGACAAUAAGAUAAAAUAUUUUUCCUCCUUUUCUAUAAAUGGAAAUUAUUAACAAAUGGUUUUUGAAAAGGAUGUGAAACAAAGAUAUAGGUUUGGAAUUAGUGUACCGUUGUUGAGAAGUUUUCUGCCUCAUUCCGUUUUGAUGAACUCCAUGAUCGAUACUUCCGCAUGCUGACUUAUUGUCCAAUUGGUGAAUUGUCUGCACACGAAAUAAAUAUUGAGUAUUUCUU